rnacentral:rRNA from 1 species
CCUACGGGGCGCACCAGUGGGGAAUAUUGCACAAUGGGCGCAAGCCUGAUACAGCCAUGCCGCGUGUAUGAAGAAGGCCUUCGGGUUGUAAAGUACUUUCAGCGGGGAGGAAGGUGUUGUGGUUAAUAACCACAGCAAUUGACGUUACCCGCAGAAGAAGCACCGGCUAACUCCGCGCCAGCAUCCGCGGUAAUGCGGAGGGUGCAAGCGUUAAUCGGAAUUACUGGGCGUAAAGCGCACGCAGGCGGUCUGCCAAGUCGGAUGUGAAAUCCCCGGGCUCAACCUGGGAACUGCAUUCGAAACUGGCAGGCUGGAGUCUUGUAGAGGGGGGUAGAAUUCCAGGUGUAGCGGUGAAAUGCGUAGAGAUCUGGAGGAAUACCGGUGGCGAAGGCGGCCCCCUGGACAAAGACUGACACUCAGGUGCGAAAGCGUGGGGAGCAAACAGGAUUAGAUACCCCCGUAGUC